AUUUAAUAUUUGUUUUAUUUAUUUGUUUAAUUUGUAUUAAUCAUUUUAAUAACAAUGCCGCGUCCUAGAAGAUUCAAUAUUUCCCAGCGAAGCCGUCAUGCAAUUAGGCAACGGAAUAUCGCGAGUCAAUUAUCUGAAAUUGCACGAGAACAGCGCCGCGUUAAUAUGGAGCAAAGAAGGGCCUUAAUUCGUGCUUCUCAAACCUAAGCAGAGGGAAGUCUAUGAUACACUGAUUAAUGCAAUUGAUGAUGGAAAUGGCGGCUUAUUUUUUUGGAUGCCCCCGGUGGAACUGGGAAGACAUUUCUCAUGUCAUUGAUUUUGGCCACUGUACGUGCGAGAUCCGAAAUUGCGGUAGCAAUUGCUUCUUCUGGAAUAGCGGCCACAUUGUUAGACGGAUGGCGUAAGGCUCACUCAGCUUUAAAAUUGCCAUUAAACCUUCAAACUACUGAACAACCGACAUGUAACAUUUCGAAAAACUCCGCAAUGGCCAAAUUUUUAGUAGCAUCAAAAAUCAUCAUAUGGGACGAAUGCACAAUGGCGCACAAACGCGCAUUGGAAGCACUAGACCGAACAUUAAAAGAUCUGCGCAAUGACUCUAGAUGUUUUGGUGGUGCAGAGAUUUUAUUAUAUGGCGAUUUCCGACAAACACUACCAGUCAUUCCAAGAUCUACUGCUCCAGACGAAUUAAACGCUUGCCUCAAAGCAUCAAAUCUGUGGCGAUAUGUAAAGAAACUUCAACUGUCUGUAAAUAUGAGAGUUGCAGUGUUGAACGAUCUAUCUGCUGAUGAUUUCUCGAAGCAAUUGCUGACUAUCAGUAAUGGCCGUGUUCCUGUUGACAAAUCGAGCGGUUUGAUUUCCUUUCCUCAAAAUUUCGUAUCAUCAAAAGACGAGCUUAUCAACAAUGUAUUCCCGGAUAUCAUUUCUAACCACAAAAAUAGUAAAUGGUUAAGUGAGCGAGCAAUUUUGGCCGCUAAAAGUAAAGAUGUAG
rnacentral:lncRNA from 1 species